rnacentral:lncRNA from 1 species
CUCCACCUACCUCAACCCCAAGCCCACCAUCAUUCCCUCCUCUGCCCGCACCCUAUCCCCACCCAUAACCUACGCCACCGCCUCCAGCAGCCGCCGCCCAAUCAUCAAGUGCCACCUUUCAUCGCCUUCUUCUUCCUCUUCCUCACCCCUUUCCCAAAACCCUAAACCCUCCUCCACCCACCUCAAAACCCUCUCCAAAGCCCUUGCAGCAGCGUCCACAGUCACCCUUAUCUUCAAUUUAGGAUCUUUCAACGGAAACGGCAAUUCCGGCGGCGGAGGAGGUGGGUUUGGGGGCGGAGGCGGUGGAGGCGGAGAUGGGUUCGGU